UCUUGAACCGCUGCUGUGUUGUAAUGAAGUAAUCGCACAGCGCUUUCGGAAAGAUGGAGCCAGGCUUUCGACCCAGUAUUCAAAAGUACGCGUUAUGUUUGGGCAGUCAUUGCUGCCGCUUUCACCCGUUGAAAUUUAUUUGGCUUUAAGUGCAACUGUCACGAGAGAGCGAAGUAAAUUGUUGAUAAGACUUCGAGGAGGUGAGCCUAACGUGGUCUGCAUCCUUGCUGCACGGAAGAUGGCCAAGAUUUGGGGAAUCUGUCUUAACCGGUGCUGGCGCAUUGCAAGGGGUCUUGCCAAGAGUUUCCACUGCCUUCACAUUGUUCCUCACCAUGAACAGAUGGUCCUUGCCAUAACUCCAUUAUGUCCUGGUUCAGAUUUCCUGGUGGUACAUACGGCAGGUCAAGACUAAGCUGAACAGGAUACGGGCAUCAAUGGCAAGACCAGCAUUUAUUGCCUUCCCUUAUGGCUGGCUAAGCCAUUUCAGAGACAACAACUUUGCUGUUCGGCUGGAAUCGCAUACCGGCCAGUCCAGGUAUUGAAUGAGGGCUUCGCAGGCUAACGGCAUUUAUUGUCCAUCUAUAAUUGCCCUUGAGUAUGUGAUGUGAACCGCCUCCUUGAGCCGCUGCUUGUAAUGAAGGCUCUUCCACGGUGCUGUUGGGUAGGCAGUUCCAGGAUUUAGUCCCAGCGACCCAACCGAGGGAUGUGUUUCCAAGUCAGAAUGGUUUUUAACUUGGAGUAUUGGUGGUGUUUCCUUAUGUGCACUUCUCCACUUCUAGGUCGGAACAAUUAUGGAUUUUGGUGGAGAUUCAGUGAAAAUAUUUUCUUAAGGAAUUUUGGAAGACACUGCUGCGUAUUUCACAAUGCUUAUCCCCAGUUAUGACCGAGCUCUUAAAUUUUUUGUGGCCCCAAGCAAACUGUUAUACCCACCAGCAGCGGGGUCCUCAUAAACUAUGCAGUGUUGAACAUCGGAUUCCCAGCAAUCCAACCAGAAAUGUUCACCCGAAUAUUAUUAAUGGCAAAGGGACGGUACAUACAAUGUGGGAAGCGGUUUUCUAUUACCAUGCAAAAGUGCCAUGCACUUUCUUGUGCUCUGUAGUACAAGUUCCAGUUUAUGUAUUGUUGGAUUGUGCUAGUAUGUGAGAGAGGUUUAUGUACUGUUUACCGAAUGGAUUCAUACGAUAUGAGAAUUAAUGGAAUAACGAGUGAUAUAUGUACAGAAUGAUAUUUGAAAUGUCGAAAACGUGUUAUAUUGUGGAUAUUAUGUAUAGUAUGGGAAAUCGUUUAUAACCUACAAUGACAAUAUUAUUUAAUGACAAAAUAUCAAUUGUGCGGCCUACUAAAUUAUAUAAAAUAAAUAGUUAUUCAUAGUUGUGAAUACUAUAUAGAGUUUCGUAGUCUGUGAGGACUACGUCCCAUACGUACGUAGAGAGCUAUUCUGCAGAAAUCUGCUUUUGCAUUAUGCAGUGUGAGGAAUGGUACACACUGUAUGAGAAACUUUACAUUCACAGUCAGGAUUAUCCUGCGACAGAGUGGUACAGAUAGUUGGGACGGUAGAGUGGAUAACGUGAGAGAAGUAGUUAGAUCUAGUAUGAGGAAUCGUACAAUAUACCAUAUGGGGAUAGUUUAAUAUAGUCUAAGAGAACCGCCCCCCCCCCCCCCAUAAGGACCAUCUACUGACUUUCUGGUAACAUCCUGGAACGGAUUUCUCGAGAUAAAUAGGUAUGUUGACAUGUACCUGACUUAGUUCUGCAUUUAGAGAUUGUGUCAGGUCACCGUCACCAAGUAUAGUUGAUAAAUUAUCUGCGGGUUGAGGCAUGAGACAACAACCAUUUCAUUUACUCAAGACUGCCCGUAAUUGUCCAUAAAUCUAAAUCUAACUUUAUAGGUUUUGUUUCGUUUCGCUGGAAUUUUGAUCUUUGGGCGGUUAUUAUAAUAAAAGUAGCGCUUAUUUGCCUGCGCAAGUUACACGCAGAGCUGCGCGUAGAAAUUUGCGAUAUUAUCACCGGCGGAGUAACUGUGAAUUUCCAAGCAACAAAAUAAAGGGAAACUAUGCAUCCAUGAAAAGGUAAAGCUCUCACAAGUCAUUGAUAUACUGGCAUUUUAAUUUCCAAAGAUAAUUACAAUGCUUGAAUGCAUUUUGUCAUAAGAUGUUUAUAAGACGCUUUAUCUAAAUACUGAAGCUUAAGUUACACAAAA